GAGUAAGAAUUUGAAGGUAGAGAAAAGAAAAGAAAAGAAAAGAAAAGAGAAGAGAGAAAGAAAGAGAGAGAGAGAGAAUAAAAGGGAGGUCAAUGGUGAUAAAGAGAAUAGAGUUUUGUAUAGAGUUUUUGAAGAUAACAAUGGAUUUAGCGGCGGUAGUGGCUGAAGCCGCGAGAGUCUUAUUGAGCCACGCUCCUCAGGUUCCGCCCGUCCUCCCCCGCCAGUACUCCGCCUCUUCCUAUCAGUCUUCAGCUUACAUGAUUCCCUAUUUUCCCUGAGAUUAUAAUUCUUUGUAAUUUUCUGUAAAUAACAAAUUAAUAUAAAUUACGUCUUCUUUUUCAAUAUGUACGGAUUUAAUCCUGGCCGGCGAUGUAGCGGCAGCUUUAACACAGACCGCAAAGUUACAUAUCCAAUUUAUCUUGUAAGCUAUUUUUUAUUUAACCGCAUCGGCUUACUUUCUUUUGUGGGAUUCCUCCUUGUUUUUAUUUUAUCUUGUUUCUUUUUUCUUGAAGAAAUUUUAUCUUGUUUCUAAAUGUUCGAAUUAGAUGUGAAACUAAUGACAAACGUAAGAACUAAAAUAUAAUAUUUUAAUUUUGUAAGGAAAAAAGAUGGGAUCAUAUCUAAGAUUAUGAAUGGUAACUACAAGAAUAAAUGGAUGAAAUAAAAUGAAUAAAAUUUAGAAAAGAGAAUAAAUUCAUUUUUCUCAUAAUUACAAUGAUAUAUUUUUCUUUGAAUUUACAUGAUGAACCUUAUUGAGAGACAAAAUUCAUCUCCAACAUAACUAUACUUCUUUUAGUUAUCAAUAAAAAAUGUGUAUGAAUUUAUUAUAUUUUUCUUUCUUUAUCUGCGUUAAAAGAGUUAAUUGAAUGUAGACAAGAUUAAAUAAAGAUUGGAUAACUAAAUGGUUUCUUUUAAAAUUAAAAACUAGUCAAUGAUUUACUUGAUAUAAUAAAGUCAAUGAUUUACUCCGUCUCUUCCUCUCAGCCUUCGGCCAUAUUUUCUCUGAUAUCGGGGACGGCUCAAAGAAACCAUCUGCCCUUGGACAAAACGAUUUUAAUAUUCCUUUUACGUAUAGGUAAAUUUGAGAAAUUUAGGCUAUUAUCCCUAAUUCUUUCAAUAUCAUUUAUGAAAAGAAGUUGGGUUCGGAGCUCACGCCCCUUGCCCAUGUUGUUUUUAAUAUCAUUUUUUUCCUUUAUAUGCAUACAUAUAAUGUUUAAAAAUUAUAGUGAAUAAUUUUGGUUUAAAUUUUUUAUAAAAUAAAUUAUGAUACUGUUAGUGAAUUUAAAUUUUAAAUAUAUAUAUAUAUAUUUUGUUGUAAUAUUUUAAUUUUAAAAUUUAAAUUAAAAAAAUUUAAAAUAUUUUUAUUUAUUUAUUUAUCUACUCGCAACCGUCCAAACGCCAGCAAAAAUCAACUUUUAAUUUUUUUUUUUUUUUGUCGCCAACAUUACAGACUCAUAUAGACUCUGUAAACCAAGCCGGGAGAUGUUGAUCCAUGUGAACGACGAAAGACGUUUGUUUCCUGACACUGCAUGCUAGGUUAUCUGCCUUUGUAUUUUGCGUUCUUGGUACAUGUAUAAUCUCUGAUCUUGUGAAACUCUCUUUCAAAGUCUUGAUAUCUUCCAGAUAACUUGCAAAAGUUGGCCACUCUUCUGGUUCCGAAACCAUCUUCACCAAUUGAGAACAAUCCGUUGCAAACGUAACCUGGUAUUGACGUAGAUUCCUCAUACAUUCCAUAGCCCAUAGAAGCGCCUCCAUCUCUUUCAACUUUUAAUUUUAAUAGGUUUAAAGUGGUUUGAACCGAUUUAUGGCGUCAUUUUUGUGGUUCUUGCAAUUUUGUAAAAUGCUAAUAACUAUAAUCAACUGUAAAAAUUGUGUUUGUGGAUCGUAGCUAGAAAAAUCAAUCAGACUCUUAGUCACUUUUUGUGGUUUUCCUCUUUGUUGUGUCAUGUUUCUAAUGUUCAAAUUGGAUGUGGAGCCAAAAACAAACGUAACAUCUAAAAUAUAAUAUAUUUUAAUUCUGCAACUAUAAAAGGAAUAGUGGAUCAUAUUUAAAACUUUGAAUGGUCUUUUUUUUGAAUGCUAAACAUAAGAAGUUAAGAACAAAUGAAAUGAAUGAGAUAAAAACAAAAGAAAUAAAAAAUAAUAUUAAUAUAAAAACAUUUUUAUCAAAAUUAUAGUGGUAUAUUUUUGCUGGGGAUUUCUUUUUUUUUGGUGGGGAUUUUUUUUAUUUCUUUGUACACUUGAUGUAUAAUCACUUUUUAUUCAAAGUAUAUAAUAAAGAAAUAUGGAAAUAUAUUAAACUUAUGACAAUUCUGUUGCAGCUUAAGAAAUGGGUGACGUAUAAAAAAAAAGGAGUUGACGAAUAAGACGUGAGGAAACACUGGUCCCGUAACCGAGUAGAAAAUGUUUGUUUCAAACUUCCAACCAUUUCCUCAAUUAAAUCCACCGCUUAAUUUGUCAAAGUUCCAUUAGUCGCGGGAUAAGGAUUUACAUUAUUUUGUCGCAAAAUGGGUUGCUUCUCUUAUAUUUUAUAGUUGAACUGAAUAUAAUUAUAGAGUCUAGAACAAUACAUAUAUACUAUUACGAGUCAAACUUAAAGCCGGAGUUUGUAUAAUCAUUAAAAUUUGUCUCUUUUUUAUUAGAAUAGCUUUUCCUUAAUAUAUAUAAAGAUAUAUAAAGAAUUCCCUAACUUUUUAAAAAAAAAUAAAAAUAGAAGAUUCC
rnacentral:lncRNA from 1 species